rnacentral:rRNA from 1 species
UUUGGAGGGCAAGUCUGGUGCCAGCAGCCGCGGUAAUUCCAGCUCCAAUAGCGUAUAUUAAAGUUGUUGCAGUUAAAAAGCUCGUAGUUGAAUUUCGGGAUCAAUAUUUCGGUCAUGCCGUUGGUAUGCACUGUUAUCAUUGAUUUCUCACCUUCUAAAGAACCGUAAUGCCCAUUAAUUUGGUGUUACGGGGAAUUAGGACUGUUACCUUGAAAAAAUUACAGUGUUUAAAGCAGGCA